GGAAUAUUGCGCAAUGGGCGAAAGCCUGAUCCAGCAAUGCCGCGUGAGUGAUGAAGGCCUUAGGGUUGUAAAGCUCUUUUACCAGGGAUGAUAAUGACAGUACCUGGAGAAUAAGCUCCGGCUAACUCCGUGCCAGCAGCCGCGGUAAUACGGAGGGUGCAAGCGUUAAUCGGAAUUACUAGGCGUAAAGCGAGUGUAGGUGGCUAUGUAAGUCGGAUGUGAAAUCCCCGGGCUCAACCUGGGAACUGCAUUCGAUACUGCAUGGCUAGAGUCUGAUAGAGGGAAGUGGAAUUCCAGGUGUAGCGGUGAAAUGCGUAGAUAUCUGGAAGAACACCAGUGGCGAAGGCGGCUUCCUGGAUCAAGACUGACACUGAGGCUCGAAAGCGUGGGGAGCAAA
rnacentral:rRNA from 1 species